GAUGAACACUGGCGGCGUGCCUAAUACAUGCAAGUCGAGCGAACAGGCGAGGAGCUUGCUCCUCUGACGUUAGCGGCGGACGGGUGAGUAACACGUGGAUAACCUACCUAUAAGACUGGGAUAACUUCGGGAAACCGGAGCUAAUACCGGAUAAUAUAUUGAACCGCAUGGUUCAAUAGUGAAAGACGGUUUUGCUGUCACUUAUAGAUGGAUCCGCGCCGCAUUAGCUAGUUGGUAAGGUAACGGCUUACCAAGGCAACGAUGCGUAGCCGACCUGAGAGGGUGAUCGGCCACACUGGAACUGAGACACGGUCCAGACUCCUACGGGAGGCAGCAGUAGGGAAUCUUCCGCAAUGGGCGAAAGCCUGACGGAGCAACGCCGCGUGAGUGAUGAAGGUCUUCGGAUCGUAAAACUCUGUUAUUAGGGAAGAACAAAUGUGUAAGUAACUAUGCACGUCUUGACGGUACCUAAUCAGAAAGCCACGGCUAACUACGUG
rnacentral:rRNA from 1 species